CCCUUAGAUGUUCUGGGCCGCACGCGUGCUACACUGAGUGGAUCAGCGGGUCAGGUUGCGCGAAAGCGUUUCCUAAUCUUUAAAUCCGCUCGUGAUGGGGAUUGACGGUUGCAAUUUUCUGUCAUGAACGAGGAAUACCUUGUAAGCGCGGGUCAUCAUCCCGCGCUGAAUACGUCCCUGCCCUUUGUACACACCGCCCGUCGCUCCUACCGAUUGAGUGGUCCGGUGAAUAAUUCGGACUGCGGCAUUGACCGGUUCCCGAUCGUUGCUGCGGAAAGUUUAGUGAACCUUAUCACUUAGAGGAAGGAGAAGUCGUAACA
rnacentral:rRNA from 1 species